GAAAAUGGGUCUUGAGGUGACACUUAGGAUACACAAUGGGACCAACACUUUUUCCUCUGAAACCCUAGCUUUACCCCUAGAUUUGCCGCCACCAGUGCGUUCGGCUUUGUCAGGCGCGUCAGGCGGCACGCCUCUUAUCAAUCUCUCUUCCUCUCUCUGUCCUCGCUAUUGCCUCAUCGCUCCCUCCAGCCACAGCUCCCCCGCAACUCCUCUCAGUCGUCGUCUUCUCCUCUACCACCAGCCUGCUCUGUCACCACCCCAUUUAUCACCGCCUACUCCUCUUCUGCCUUGCCAUAGCCUUCAGUCAUCUCUCCACCAAUGACAUCCUCAUCCGAUCUCGAUCCACCGUCAUCAUCCCACCACAGUUGCUUCAUCUUUUAGCUGCCGCCCCACCACGGUAGAUUUGCUUGAUCUGUUUUGAUUGGAUUUGAUCUGUUCAUAGGAAUCUGCUGCUGAUUGGCCUCAAUCUUGUCUUAGACUUGGACUUCUCAACACGUAUCGCCGAAGAUUAGUGUUGGCCUCUCACACUAUCCUCAUGUCCACUCCCCAUGACAAAAAUCUUGGCUUCCUCAGGCUUUGACCAUCGACCUAUUACCGACGUAGCCCCAAGAACCUUAUGUGUUCGGGUUGUUACUCCCCUUGAUGGAUGUACUGGUGGUCUCUCGAUGUUCAGAUAUUGCGUAUGUCUAGUUUUGGUUUAGGCUAAUUUGCGAUUGAAUAGCUUAGAUUCCUUGCUUUUCGUUUUAUUUUGUUUAAUGCGAGGUUUGUUGUGUAUUUGCUUUGAAUAAUGGACGACUCUACAGUCGAUCCCUGGGUUGUCUUGUAUGCCUUUUUAGGUAACUAUCCUGUUGUUCGAGAUGCCUUUUCAAGCAUCUCUUUGUUUGGGAUGCUUCUCCAGGCAUCUCUUUGUCCCCAGAUGCCUCUUUAGGCAUUUCACCCCAUGUACAUUACUCUGACGUUCAAUAAAACUUUACUGUUCACAAAAAAAAGUGACACUUGGAGGGCCA